UUAGUGUUUGCUAUACAGCAGACUCUGAACAUCCAUGGAUCAUGUCCAUGAGCACUUCUGCACACAUAUAGAUAGUACUGAUAGCUGUUGCUGCCUUCUUUGACUCCAGAUAGUGACUGAAAUCAGUUGGAAUUCUCUUGAGGCUAUUGGAAUUUCUGUGUCAUAAAGUAGUUAGUAGU